CUUUGGGGAGGGGGUGGGAGAGACGACAGGUCUGGGAUCAGGGAGUCUUCAAGGCCCCCGCUGAGGGGACAGCGAAUCUACCAUUGAACCGUGCACAGGGGACAUGGACAAAAUGAGACGCGACAGGGACAAGAGCAUUUUGCUCUGCUUCCAGGAAACAUCAAGUCGACUUCGCUUGAAAAGAUCGAGAAUGGAGGAGGGGAUCGGCACUCACUUGCAGACAUCAACAGUUUCCAGAAAAUUCGGUUCAAUUCCUUCACCACGGACCCACCAACCAAGGAGCUGGCAAAACCCGCUAACCAACCAGGAGAACACAGACCCGGUUUGUCUUUUGACAACCGAGUGGAACUGACGGGGCCGGCGCCUGCCCUGCGGGUCCCCUCCCUUGGCUGAGAAGAAAACCAAAUAAACCUUGAACAGC
rnacentral:antisense_RNA from 1 species